rnacentral:rRNA from 1 species
UACAGGGGGGGCAAGCGUUGUUCGGAAUUACUGGGCGUAAAGGGUCUGUAGGUGGCUUGCUAAGUCAGACGUGAAAUCCCUCAGCUUAACUGGGGAACUGCGUCUGAUACUGGCAAGCUUGAGUGCAGGAGAGGAACGCGGAAUUCCUGGUGUAGCGGUGAAAUGCGUAGAUAUCAGGAGGAACACCAGUGGCGAAGGCGGAUCUCUGGACCAGUUCUGACACUGAUGAGCGAAAGCCAGGGGAGCAAACAGG